rnacentral:rRNA from 1 species
AGAAUCAACGCUGGCGGCGUGCCUAACACAUGCAAGUCGAACGAGAAAGUGGAGCAAUCCAUGAGUAAAGUGGCGCACGGGUGAGUAACACGUGACUAACCUACCUUUUAGUGGGGGAUAACCUAGGGAAACCUGGGCUAAUACCGCAUAAUACCUACGGGUCAAAGCAGCAAUGCGCUGAAAGAGGGGGUCGCGGUCGAUUAGUUAGUUGGCAGGGUAAUGGCCUACCAAGACUGUGAUCGAUAUCCGGCCUGAGAGGGCGCACGGACACACUGGAACUGAAACACGGUCCAGACUCCUACGGGAGGCAGCAGUGGGGAAUUUUGCGCAAUGGGGGAAAACCCUGGACGCAGCAACGCCGCGUGGAGGAUGAAGUCCCUUGGGACGUAAACUCCUUUCGAUCGGGACGAUAAUGACGGUACCGGAAGAAGAAGCCCGGCUAACUUCGCGCCAGCAGCCGC